rnacentral:tRNA from 1 species
GCCCUGGUGGCACAGUGGUUAAAUGCCUGUACUGCAGCUGCAAGGUUGCAAGUUCAAUACCAGCCAAGGGCU